rnacentral:rRNA from 1 species
CUACGGGUGGCAGCAGUGGGGAAUAUUGGACAAUGGGCGAAAGCCUGAUCCAGCCAUGCCGCGUGUGUGAAGAAGGCCUUCGGGUUGUAAAGCACUUUCAGUGGGGAAGAAAGCCUUGGGGCUAAUACCCUCGAGGAAGGACAUCACCCACAGAAGAAGCACCGGCUAACUCCGUGCCAGCAGCCGCGGUAAUACGGAGGGUGCGAGCGUUAAUCGGAAUUACUGGGCGUAAAGCGCGCGUAGGCGGUCUGAUAAGCCGGUUGUGAAAGCCCCGGGCUCAACCUGGGAACGGCAUCCGGAACUGUCAGGCUAGAGUGCAGGAGAGGAAGGUAGAAUUCCCGGUGUAGCAGUGAAAUGCGUAGAGAUCGGGAGGAAUACCAGUGGCGAAGGCGGCCUUCUGGACUGACACUGACGCUGAGGUGCGAAAGCGUGGGUAGCAAACAGGAUUAGAUACCCGGGUAGUC